rnacentral:rRNA from 1 species
GCGUAUAUUAAAGUUGUUGCAGUUAAAAAGCUCGUAGUUGGAUUUCUGUUAAUAUUUUAUAUUAUUAAUUUAUUAUUAUUAAUAUAAUAUUAACAUAAUUCAUAUUACUUUUUUUGAGUAUAUGAAAUUUUACUUUGAGAAAAUUAGAGUGCUUAAAGCAGGCUUUUGCCUUGAAUACUCCAGCAUGGAAUAAUAUUAAAGAUUUUUAUCUUUCUUAUUGGUUCUAAGAUAGAAAUAAUGAUUAAUAGGGACAGUUGGGGGCAUUUGUAUUUAACAGUCAGAGGUGAAAUUCUUAGAUUUGUUAAAGACAAACUAAUGCGAAAGCAUUUGCCAAGGAUGUUUUCAUUAAUCAAGAACGAAAGUUAGGGGAUCGAAGACGAUCAGAUACCGUCGUAGUCUUAACCAUAAACUAUGCCAACUAGAGAUUGGAGGUUGUUCCUUACUCCUUC